CCUACGGGUGGCUGCAGUGAGGAAUAUUGGUCAAUGGGCGUGAGCCUGAACCAGCCAAGUAGCGUGAAGGAUGACUGCCCUACGGGUUGUAAACUUCUUUUAUAAGGGAAUAAAGUGAGGCACGUGUGCCUUUCUGUAUGUACCUUAUGAAUAAGGAUCGGCUAACUCCGUGCCAGCAGCCGCGGUAAUACGGAGGAUCCGAGCGUUAUCCGGAUUUAUUGGGUUGAAAGGGUGCGUAGACGGGUUGUUAAGUCAGGUGUGAAAGUUUGCGGCCCAACCGUAAAAUUGCAAUUGAUACUGGCAGCCUUGAGUUCAGUUGAGGUAGGCGGAAUUCGUGGUGUAGCGGUGAAAUGCUUAGAUAUCGCGAAGAACUCCGAUUGCGAAGGCAGCUUACUAAACUGCCACUGACACUGAUGCUCGAAAGUGUGGGUAUCAAACAGGAUUAGAUACCCCAGUAGUC
rnacentral:rRNA from 1 species